CAGCCUGCCAAGUUGGGUCCCUGUAUGCCAAGUUCCAGGGGAUAGCAAACUUAAAACUGAAUCAUAAACCCUGAAGGAAGAGCCUUAUCUGAUGUGGUAGACCAAACUUAAUGGGGCCAGUACUUGCAGCUGCAUUUUUUGGAAAGUGUUUCAUUAAUUGCUUUGAAAAAGCAGCAGCAAAUAUUGGGCCCCAUAAGUGCGUACCGAGGACUCCCAUUGAUUUCAGUGAGGUUCUCAGCCUGAUGCUAAGCCAAGCGAAGGCAAUUGGAAGCAUUCCACUGACUUCUGUGGACUUUGGAUCAAAUCCUGGGGUUGCACACACCCUUGCCCUUAGUAGUUGGUGCAGAAUCCCACGCAACUCUGAUCAGCAAAUUGAUAUACUGAUCUUCUUUUGCCCUCCCUUCUGGAACCUGCAGAACGCCACCCUG
ensembl:lncRNA